GGGACACCNCGAAAGGCGGGCUAAACCCGCGUACAUGCCACCGGGGCAUCCCGGAGGCAGGAAAGGCUUCGGCCGGACAGGGAUGGGCAUGCGGCGCAUUAGGCAGUAGGCGGGGUAACGGCCCACCUAACCGACGAUGCGUAGGGGUUCUGAGAGGAAGGUCCCCCACACUGGUACUGAGACACGGACCAGACUCCUACGGAAGGCAGCAG
rnacentral:rRNA from 1 species